GGUGGACAUGCAGCUGUUUCCUGUCUUUUGCUGCAGUGAAUUCUCUCAGUCUCAUUUCUCAAAUUGAAAUCUGAUCCAUUUGAAGUUUAUCUGGGAAUAAAGUGAGAGGAAGUUUAGAAUCAGAUUGUCCAGUUCUGUGAAGAAAAUAUUUCUGCAACUUGAGUGGGGUCACCCUAGACUUACAGAUUACUGAGGGAAAGUGUCCGUCUUUAUGGUAUUGCAAGCACCCUACACCUUGUCAUCCAUUCAAGCAUUUUGGGGGGCUCGUCAUUGUCAUGCAUUCUUAGAGAUUUAAUGACGUCUUAAGUUUAUUUUGAGGUAUGGUCUUUGUAUUGAUUUUGUUACCUCUUGUUGUCUUGCUGUGUCUUGAACUCAUUUCUCUGCUUCAUGUCCUUAUUUUAGAGAGUUUAAAAAAUUCAUGGCGCUAUGCCUGGUCAUAAACAUCAUGUGCUUAGUAGAAGCAUGUCUAGCAGAUACUGGUGUUUUCUGUCCUGUCCU